UGCCUCUACUCCUGCUUGUACAGACUGCUUUUCCAGCAGCAUGGACACAAGAAGCAUACUGUAUUCCCUGAAUGACUACAAGCCACCAAUUUCGAAAGCGAAAAUGACCCAAAUCACUAAAGCAGCCAUCAAAGCUAUUAAGUUCUAUAAACAUGUGGUACAGAGUGUUGAGAAAUUCAUUCAGAAAUGUAAACCAGAAUACAAGGUACCUGGACUUUAUGUUAUUGACUCCAUUGUACGACAAUCUCGACAUCAGUUUGGUCAAGAAAAGGAUGUAUUUGCACCCAGAUUUAGUAAUAACAUCAUUAGCACUUUCCAGAAUUUAUAUCGUUGCCCUGGGGAUGACAAGAGUAAAAUAGUGAGAGUAUUGAAUUUAUGGCAGAAGAACAAUGUAUUUAAGAGUGAGAUUAUUCAGCCUCUUUUGGAUAUGGCAGCAGGAAUUCCUCCUCCAGUUGUCACACCUGUCCUGGCCAGUACUACUGCUGCUAUGAGCAAUACCCCAGGAACUCCUGUGACACCUGUUACUCCAGCCAAUGUGGUCCAAGGUUUACCUGAUCCAUGGGUAUCCCAGAUAGCAAAUACAGAUACACUUACAGCUGUAGCUCAGAUCUUACAAAGUCCUCAAGGCCAGCAGUUUCAGCAGUUAAUACAAACUUUACAGAUACAACAGCAGAAGCCCCAGCCUUCCAUCCUGCAGGCCCUGGAUGCUGGUCUUGUUGUUCAGUUGCAGGCUCUGACCGCACAGCUUACAGCUGCAGCUGCAGCAGCCAAUACGCUCAAUCCCUUAGAACAGGGAGUGUCUUUUAACAAGAAGUUGAUGGAUAGGUUUGAUUUUGGAGAAGAUUCUGAGCAUAGUGAAGAACCCAAAAAAGAAAUUCCAACUUCUCAACUUUCUCACGUUUCAGAAUCUGUGAACAAUUCCAUUUUUCAUCAGAUAGCAGAGCAACUACAGCAACAAAACCUAGAACAUAUCAGGCAGCAACUCCUGGAACAGCAACAGCCUCAAAAGGCAACCCCUCAGGAUAGUCAAGAAGGAACAUUUGGAUCAGAGCAUUCCGCGUCACCCUCACAAGGGAGCAGUCAACAGCAUUUCCUUGAACCUGAAGCAAAUUUGGAUGAUUCCAUAGAUAUUCAGCAACAGGACAUGGAUAUAGAUGAAGGGCAAGAUGGAGCGGAAGAGGAGAUCUUUGAACAAGAAGCAAAGAAAGUGGCUGUUCGCUCGAGAUCAAGAACACAUUCACGCUCUCGUUCAAGGUCACCAAGAAAACGAAGGUCUAGGUCACGGUCUGGAUCUCGAAAGCGUAAGCACAGAAAGCGAUCACGCUCACGCUCAAGAGAAAGAAAGAGGAAAUCAUCACGUUCAUACUCCAGUGAAAGAAGAGCUAGAGAAAGGGAGAAGGAACGACAGAAGAAGGGGUUACCUCCAAUUCGGUCUAAAACAUUAAGUGUGUGUAGCACUACCCUCUGGGUUGGUCAGGUGGACAAGAAGGCAACACAGCAGGAUUUAACCAACCUGUUUGAAGAGUUUGGACAAAUUGAAUCCAUUAAUAUGAUUCCUCCCAGGGGCUGUGCUUAUGUCUGCAUGGUUCAUCGACAAGAUGCAUUUCGGGCUCUUCAGAAGCUUAGUUCUGGAUCAUAUAAAAUUGGGUCCAAGGUCAUUAAGAUUGCUUGGGCUUUAAACAAAGGUGUAAAAACAGAAUACAAACAAUUCUGGGAUGUGGACCUUGGAGUUACAUACAUACCAUGGGAAAAAGUUAAAGUGGACGACUUGGAAGGUUUUGCAGAAGGAGGCAUGAUUGACCAGGAAACUGUAAAUACUGAAUGGGAAACUGUGAAAAGCUCAGAACCUGUUAAAGAGACGGUCCAGACAACUCAGAGCCCACCUCCUGUUGAAAAGGAAACAGUGGUCACAACCCAGGCAGAGGUUUUUCCUCCACCUGUUGCUGUGUUACAGAUUCCAGUAGCACCAGCUGUGCCUACAGUUAGUUUAGUCCCACCAGCAUUUCCUGUGUCAAUGCCGGUUCCUCCUCCUGGAUUCAGUCCAAUACCUCCACCUCCUUUUCUACGAGCAAGUUUUAACCCUUCACAACCACCUCCUGGUUUUAUGCCACCUCCAGUUCCACCACCUGUUGUACCACCGCCUACUAUUCCACCAGUAGUACCAACAUCUUUGGUGCAGCCGCCAUUAUCCAUGACUCCAGAAACUGUGAAAGAGGUUGGAUUUGGUAGCCUUGUUUUACCAGGUGGUUCUGUUGCCAGCAGUCUUGCUCCUUCCACUCUGCCAGCUGGAACUGUUUUUAAUCCUCCCCCUAAACAAGCAGAGCCUGAAGAAAAAGUACCUCAUCUUAUAGAUCACCAGAUCUCUUCUGGUGAAAACACCAGAUCAGUGAUUCCAAAUGAUAUUCCAAGCGGCUCUGCAAUUUUAGGAGGACAGCCGCCAAAUGUGACAAACAAUUCUGGAAUUCUUGGAGUUCAAAGACCAAAUGCACCAAGUAAUUCUGAAAUGCUUGGAGUCCGGCCAUCUAACGUUUCCAGUGGUUCUGGGAUUAUUGGAGCCCAGCCACCAAAUAUUCUAAAUAACUCUGGAAUUUUGGGAAUACAACCAUCCGGUGUUUCGAGUAAUUCUGGACUUAUGGGAGUACUACCCCCCAGUCUCCCUAACAAUUCUGGACUUAUAGGAGUACAGCCACCCAAUGUUCUAAAUACAUCUGGACCUUUGGGAACACAGCCACCCGGUGGGCCUCAAAAUUUACCCCCUUUACAUCUCUCUAAUCAAAGGAUGCCUGUAAUGCCAAUGUUAGACCUUCGUCCAGGACUAAUACCGCAGGCACCUGGACCAAGAUUUCCUUUGCUACAGCCUGGAAUUCCACCCCAACGAGGACUCCCUCCCCCAUCGAUGCUUGAUUCAGCUCUUCAUCCACCUCCCCGUGGUCCUUUUCCUCCAGGAGAUAUUUUUAGUCAGCCAGAAAGACCUUUUCUAAUUCCUGGAAGGCAAAGUAUAGACAAUAUUGCUAAUCCAGAAAAAAGGAUACCGCUUGGAAAUGAUAACAUUCAACAGGAAGGCGAUAGAGAUUACAGGUUUCCUCCUAUAGAAACCAGGGAAAGCAUGAGUAGACCUCCCCCAGUGGAUGUUAGGGAUGUGAUUGGGCGGCCUGUAGAUCCCAGAGAUGGUCCUGGAAGGCCUCCAUUAGAUGGCAGGGAUCAUUUUGUAAGGCCUCCUGUAGAUAUUAGAGAGAAUCUUGUGAGGCCAGGCAUGGAUCAUCUUGGUCGAAGAGACCACUUUGGCUUUACUCCAGAGAAGCCAUGGGGGCAUAGAGAUUUUGAUGAGAGAGAGCAUCGGGUUCUACCUGUCUUUGCUGGUCCAAAAGGCUUACAUGAAGAAAGAGGGAGAUUUCGGUCUGGAAGCUAUCGAUUUGAUCCCAGAAGUGGUCCUUGGAACAGAGGAUUUCAAGAAGUUCACAGAGAUUUUGAUGACCGCAGAAGACACUGGGAGAGGCAGAGGGAUAGGGAUGACAGAGAUUUUGAUUUCUGCAGAGAAAUGAAUGGAAAUCGUCUUGGACGAGAUAGAAUUCAAAACACCUGGGUCCCCCCUCCCCAUGCUCGGGUUUUUGAUUUCUUUGAAGGGGCCACUUCUCAACGAAAAGGUGAUAAUGUGCCUCAGGUUAAUGGUGAAAAUGCUGAGAGACAUGCUCAACCACCACCUUUACCAGUACAGAAUGAACCUGAACUUUAUGAAAAACUGACAUCUUCAAAUGAAAUAAACAAGGAGAAGAGUGACACAGUUGCUGAUGUAGAAAGUGAACCAGUGGUAGAAAACACAGAAACUGAGGGGACAUAAUCAUCACUCAGUAGAUGAUUGAGUGGCCAGGCCCUGUGUUGGGUGCUAGAGCAAUGACAUGCUGUCAUCCGUUAGAAGCUCCGAGUGUAAUAGUAACAGAAGGCAGGAAAGCGUGGAAACCAAGUGUGUACCCCGUGUUGCAUGGGACUCCAGGGAUCCAGGUCUGGCGGCUGAGAGGGACUCAUCCGAGAGGCUUCAGAAGGAAGGCAAGAUGAAUGAAGUGCUGGCAGCUUCCCGUGCCCCAGGCCUUGUAGGAAUAAGUGAGCCGCGCACCAGAGGGCUCAUGUGCGCCCCACCGGACCUGGUGCAAGGACCCUGUGCAAGGAAGCCUUAAGGAACCCGCCGUUACCACUGAGAAGGCUCUGUGCCCUCGGGCCUUGCUUCUGCUUGAAUCCAGAGGUUGCGAGCAUGCCUCCCUAUAUCACCUGUUGGAGCAGGUUUAAUUUUUUAAAUUUGAAACACAAACUCUAUGAGUUUCUAGUCCAUCAUUGUUCUUGUUGAGGAUCCACGCAGAUGAACAGGGCGGCGUCCGUAGGCGAUGUGCACGUCCGCUGGACCAGUUGACUGCAGCAUAAAUGGCAGCAGGCUCCAUCUGCCUCUCCAUCCAGGGCCGCGACAGAAGGACAGUUAGCAAGGAGACCCCUCCAGGAGAGAAGGUCCCAUUGUGUUGGAACCACAGAUUCCUAGAGCCGUAGCUUCAGUGACCAAGACUGUUCUCUUGAACACAGCGCGCGUAGACUGCAGCUCUUGAUGCUGGCUUUCAUCCAUUAUCAUUGGUCAUCACCUUGGACAGUCGCCAGCAUUGGACGUCUUAAGCGUUCAUUGAAUAAAAAUGCAGCUCUGAGAGAAUCCAGGGCUCGAUACAGUGUUCUGGGCACUGCGCUCCAGCGUUCGUGUCGCAGUAUUACUCAUGGCAGGUGCCCAGGUGGUUGAUGCCAAACCUAGUGGGAGAGGAAGCAAAAUGGCAACGAAGGGCAUAUUACAUUGUGUUGUAAACAUACUUUAUAAGUACAUUUCUUAUUAGCUGCUUAUUCGGGCAGAGAUGAUAACAUUUCUCUCUUGAGUUUCCAGACCAGGAUUUGUGUUUUGGAAAUUAUCAGUGUUCACAAUACCUGCAGGGGGGGAAAUACAAAAACUCAAGUACGAGCACUCUUUAUACCUGAAAGAAUGUUUUUAUCAUUCUUCUAAUUGUUUUGGCUCUGUCACGGAUUAAAGUGCUUGGAAUGCCGGA